UGGAAACACAAUUCGAAGAGACCCAAAGACAGCUUGAAUAACCGCAUGGAGAAGCAACUUGAGGAAAAAUUGGCACAUAUUUUUUUUAGAAGGAAUCCUUUUACUGCUGGACAAUUUUCUAGUGUUAGGAACAAUGCAGCAUACCAUGAUCAUAGAGUUGAAAGUACUGGUAACAUAUGGGCACAAAGGGAAAUCAUGGAAGCUUCAACUACUUUACGAAGAGAGGGUCAA